UUAAAAAAAAGAAAGAUACUAGAACCAGGCAUUUGACAUCAUAGGGACGCUCAGCAUAUCUCCUUUUUUUCCUGUCUCUUGUUUCAGCUUGCUUCAUUCUUCCCUUACAAGGUAAAUGGACUGUAUUUACAUGGCAGAGAACAUGGCCACUUGGAAGUUCUGUCAGAAUAAUCCCAAAGAGAUACCUAGACUCAUCUGGCUUGGGAGCAUGAUCACUUCUGGGUCAAUUUUUGGUCGCUCAUUUUGGUCACGUGCUUUUCCCUGUGGCUAGGAUUGCAUCUACAUCUUCAAAUUACAGCACAAAUACUGCUCUGCUAAGUGGAGUGAGAAUUAAUAGACCUGAGUGACCAAGGACUAAUUCAGCUUGAGGUGUGGAAGAAUGGUGAUGCUAUUUACCCAAAGGAUAAUUCAUAUUAUAUUUAAGAAACUGCAUAUAUUGCUUGGCUUUCAACCUGUUUGGAAACGGGCUAUAUGAUAUUUCGCCUUAGCUACAGUAAUCUCACGGCAACUGGAUGUGGAAGGGAAGGGGAAAAACUGGCGAUUUUGAGGUUUCUACGUGAGAUGACUGACGUGUCAUUAACUAAGACUAUAAACACUGAAGAGAGCAAAUUUGAGACAGACUUGGUUUGGGUCACGGUGAAUUUUGAUGACAUUGCUAGCCAUCUUCCCUUGCUUUUUCAUAGCACUAUUACCAUGUGACAUAUAUUUAUAUGUUUUACUUACUGCCUAUCUCCACACCCUCCCACAACCUACAAAUUUAAGCUCCAUGAGUGCAGGAACCUGGUCUGGUUUUGCCAGAACCUAGAGAGUGGCACGUACU